AGGACUAGCUCGAGCUCGAGCUUCAAUACGCAAGGCAGGCACAUCAUCUCUAAUCGUCUCGCCAAUUGCCGGCCUCAACCAAAGCGACGUCGACAGAGAAUUUGUUUAUCGUAACGGAGCCUCAUUUUACCAGAGUUAUCUGGAGAUGGAGAGAAGAUUCAAGGUCUACGUAUACUCGGAAGGGGACCUACCAAUCGUCCAUGAUGGGCCAUGCAAG
rnacentral:misc_RNA from 1 species